GAUGAACGCUGGCGGCGUGCCUAAUACAUGCAAGUCGAGCGAACGGACGAGAAGCUUGCUUCUCUGAUGUUAGCGGCGGACGGGUGAGUAACACGUGGAUAACCUACCUAUAAGACCGGGAUAACUUCGGGAAACCGGAGCUAAUACCGGAUAAUAUUUUGAACCGCAUGGUUCAAAAGUGAAAGACGGUCUUGCUGUCACUUAUAGAUGGAUCCGCGCUGCAUUAGCUAGUUGGUAAGGUAACGGCUUACCAAGGCAACGAUGCAUAGCCGACCUGAGAGGGUGAUCGGCCACACUGGAACUGAGACACGGUCCAGACUCCUACGGGAGCAGCAGUAGGGAAUCUUCCGCAAUGGGCAAAGCCUGACGGAGCAACGCCGCGUGAGUGAUGAAGGUCUUC
rnacentral:rRNA from 1 species